UUGUUACUUGCCUCUGCACAGGUAUGGGAAGAGAAGAAUGAGCAAACAAUGGCAUGAACACCAACAGGCAGGCACAGAUGGAGGUCCAGAAGGUAACUCAAAGUAAAAAUGGAACACAAAGCACUGAAAUAACUGCUGAAAUAAUAGAUGUGAUGAAAUUAUGUUUUUAAAAAGUUUGCGUUGAAUAUUUUGGCAGUAAAGUCCUCCAGUUACCCAGAGAAAGAGAUGUAGCCUGAACAGUGCCAUAUUCAGAAGUUUCUCCACCCUGACACUUAUCCAGGAAUGACCAAAUGUACUGUUAGAGGCUGUUUCAUUUGAUAUGCAAAUUCAUUAUUGUACUGUCUGUUGAGAUUGCCAUCAAUGUUGCUAGUUAAUGCCAGGUGUGUUGGUGGUUCCAUUUAAGGUGAACACUUUUCUACUAGGACGGGUUACUAAAGUGAGACCAUCAUGAACAGCACUCACAAACUGCUGAUCAGCUAUCAACGUUUCAUCUCAACUCUUCCCAGGUUGCAUUUAAACCGGUGUUCUACUCAGAUAUCCAGCCCCUUCAGCCUAUCUGGUUCCCAAGAGUAUGCCUUCUACAUAUGACAUGCCUUGUUUGCUUUCUACCCUUCAAAUGUAUGUAGCUCUCUCAUUUACUGCUGCACCCCCCACAUUCAUCUCAGAGGCUGGGAAGAGCACAAACUGAAAUACAAGACUGUUUCUACAAAAAGGCUAGAAGCCCUCUGGAUAAUCUGACACAUUCCAUGUUGGAUCAUCCUAGACAUCAUAUACCCAACCUGUCAGAAAUCAUAAUAAGGCCAAAUCUGUAUAGUAGCAGCUCUUUUGCUGGACCCCCCAUCAAGCCAUGAUUACUGUCACCAAGUGGAUGAGUUGUACAAGAAAGUAAGGGUUGUUGGCUUUUGUUGCAGAUAACAUGCUGUCAGUGAAGUAAAAGGCAUGCCACAUCCAAAAAGUGUUAUAUGACAUGCCUUUCACUUCACUGGGGAAAACAACAACAAUACAUAUUCCUCAAAUGCAACAUCAUUCCUGUAUAUUUUGCAUGAUCAGGUGCCUUUCUAUCAUCACACAUGUAGUAUUCUGACUAGCAAAGGAAGGGUAUUGAACUUGGAUUAUUUUUUAAAUAAAAUACAUUCUGAAUAGUU